CCUACGGGUGGCAGCAGUGAGGAAUAUUGGUCAAUGGGCGUGAGCCUGAACCAGCCAAGUCGCGUGAGGGAAGACGGUUCUAUGGAUUGUAAACUUCUUUUGUAGGGGAGCAAAAGACGACACGCGUGGAGCUCUGCGUGUCCCCUAAGAACAAGCAUCGGCUAACUCCGUGCCAGCAGCCGCGGUCAUACGGGGGAGGCGAGCGUUAUCCGGAUUUAUUGGGUUUAAAGGGAGCGCAGGGGGAAGAUAAAGUCAGCGGUAAAAUUGAGGGGCUCAACCUCUUCGUGCCGUUGAAACUGGAUGGCUUGAGUGGGCGAGAAGUAAGCGGAAUGCGUGGUGUAGCGGUGAAAUGCAUAGAUAUCACGCAGAACUCCGAUUGCGAAGGCAGCAUACCGGAGCGCAACUGACGCUCAAGCACGAAAGUGUGGGUAUCGAACAGGAUUAGAUACCCCUGUAGUC
rnacentral:rRNA from 1 species